AGAGUUUGAUCAUGGCUCAGAACGAACGCUGGCGGCAGGCUUAACACAUGCNGUCGAACGCUCGUGAGCGAUCACGGGAGUGGCGGACGGGUGAGUAACGCGUGGGACAUACCCUUCGGUUCGGAAUAACUCAGGGAAACUUGAGCUAAUACCGGAUACGUCCCGGGGCGCGAGUCCUGGGGGAAAGAUUGAUCGCCGGAGGAUUGGCCCGCGUUCGAUUAGCUAGUUGGCGAGGUAACGGCUCACCAAGGCGACGAUCGAUAGCUGGUCUGAGAGGAUGAUCAGCCGCAUUGGGACUGAGACACGGCCCAAACUCCUACGGGAGGCAGCAGUGGGGAAUAUUGGACAAUGGGCGCAAGCCUGAUCCAGCCAUGCCGCGUGAGUGAUGACGGCCUUAGGGUUGUAAAGCUCUUUCGCUCGGGACGAUAAUGACGGUACCGAGAGAAGAAGCCCCGGCUAACUUCGUGCCAGCAGCCGCGGUAAUACGAAGGGGGCUAGCGUUGUUCGGAAUUACUGGGCGUAAAGCGCGUGUAGGCGGGUCUUUAAGUCAGGGGUGAAAUGCCAAGGCUCAACCUUGGAACUGCCUUUGAUACUGGGGACCUUGAGUCCGGGAGAGGUGAGUGGAAUUGCGAGUGUAGAGGUGAAAUUCGUAGAUAUUCGCAAGAACCCAGUGGCGAAGGCGGCUCACUGGCCCGGAACUGACGCUGAGACGCGAAAGCGUGGGGAGCAAACAGGAUUAGAUACCCCAGUAGUCC
rnacentral:rRNA from 1 species